rnacentral:rRNA from 1 species
GACGAACGCUGGCGGCGUGCUUAACACAUGCAAGUCGAACGGUGACCUCGAGAGCUUGCUCUUGGGUGAUCAGUGGCGAACGGGUGAGUAACACGUGAGUAACCUGCCCCAGACUCUGGAAUAACCCCGGGAAACCGGAGCUAAUACCGGAUACGAGACGGAGUCGCAUGGCUACCGUCUGGAAAGUUUUUCGGUCUGGGAUGGACUCGCGGCCUAUCAGCUUGUUGGUGAGGUAACGGCUCACCAAGGCGACGACGGGUAGCCGGCCUGAGCGGGCGACCGGCCACACUGGGACUGAGACACGGCCCAGACUCCUACGGGAGGCAGCAGUGGGGAAUAUUGCACAAUGGGCGAAAGCCUGAUGCAGCGACGCCGCGUGAGGGAUGACGGCCUUCGGGUUGUAAACCUCUUUCAGCAGGGAAGAAGCGAAAGUGACGGUACCUGCAGAAGAAGCACCGGCUAACUACGUGCCAGCCGCCGCGGUAACAC